GCAUAUAACGACUCUCGGCAACGGAUAUCUCGGCUCUUGCAUCGAUGAAGAACGUAGCGAAAUGCGAUACUUGGUGUGAAUUGCAGAAUCCCGUGAACCAUCGAGUCUUUGAACGCAAGUUGCGCCCGAAGCCCUUAGGCCGAGGGCACGCCUGCCUGGGUGUCACCAA
rnacentral:rRNA from 1 species